rnacentral:rRNA from 2 species
AACACGUGGGCAACCUGCCCUGCAGACUGGGAUAACUCCGGGAAACCGGAGCUAAUACCGGGUAAUACAUCGCACCGCAUGGUGCAAUGUUGAAAGUUGGCUUUCUGAGCUAACACUGCAGGAUGGGCCCGCGGCGCAUUAGCUAGUUGGUAAGGUAAUGGCUUACCAAGGCAACGAUGCGUAGCCGACCUGAGAGGGUGAUCGGCCACACUGGGACUGAGACACGGCCCAGACUCCUACGGGAGGCAGCAGUAGGGAAUCUUCCGCAAUGGACGAAAGUCUGACGGAGCAACGCCGCGUGAGUGACGAAGGCCUUCGGGUCGUAAAGCUCUGUUGUUAGGGAAGAACAAGUACCGUUCGAAUAGGGCGGUACCUUGACGGUACCUAACCAGAAAGCCACGGCUAACUACGUGCCAGCAGCCGCGGUAAUACGUAGGUGGCAAGCGUUGUCCGGAAUUAUUGGGCGUAAAACGCGCGCAGGCGGUCUUUUAAGUCUGAUGUGAAAGCCCACGGCUCAACCGUGGAGGGUCAUUGGAAACUGGAGGACUUGAGUGCAGAAGAGGAGAGUGGAAUUCCACGUGUAGCGGUGAAAUGCGUAGAUAUGUGGAGGAACACCAGUGGCGAAGGCGGCUCUCUGGUC